rnacentral:lncRNA from 1 species
AGUGAUUUCUAGCAGUAUGUAGUGACAACCUAAUAAAACUGAAAUGAAUAUCUAGAUAUAGUUAACGUAUGAUUUGAUCCCUCUAUCGUGAGUUCUGACUUGAUGGCAGGUCAUGGAUAAAUCGUCAAACCUCAACAUCAGUCAUAUGAUAGAUUCGAUUAGCUCCAGUCCAGUUAUGAUUUCUAUGAAAAUUCUUUUCCAUCAAUCACACUACUAUGGCCAUAGAUUCUUGAACUUAGUCUUUUAAAUUUUAUAGGACUACUCCUCUCUAUCAAGGUUGAUAGAUCCCAU